GACGAACGCUGGCGGCGUGCUUAACACAUGCAAGUCGAGCGGUAAGGCCCUUUCGGGGGUACACGAGCGGCGAACGGGUGAGUAACACGUGGGUGAUCUGCCCUGCACUUCGUGAUAAGCCUGGGAAACUGGGUCUAAUACCGGAUAUGACCAGAGGCUGCAUGGCGUUUGGUGGAAAGGUUUACUGGUGCAGGAUGGGCCCGCGGCCUAUCAGCUUGUUGGUGGGGUAGUGGCCUACCAAGGCGACGACGGGUAGCCGACCUGAGAGGGUGACCGGCCAAACUGGGACUGAGACACGGCCCAGACUCCUACGGGAGGCAGCAGUGGGGAAUAUUGCACAAUGGGCGAAAGCCUGAUGCAGCGACGCCGCGUGAGGGAUGACGGCCUUCGGGUUGUAAACCUCUUUCAGCAGGGACGAAGCGAAAGUGACGGUACCUGCAGAAGAAGCACCGGCCAACUACGUGCCAGCAGCCGCCGUAAAAC
rnacentral:rRNA from 1 species